rnacentral:rRNA from 1 species
AUUGAACGCUGGCGGCAUGCCUUACACAUGCAAGUCGAACGGUAACGCGGGGCAACCUGGCGACGAGUGGCGAACGGGUGAGUAAUGUAUCGGAACGUGCCCAGUUGUGGGGGAUAACUGCUCGAAAGAGCAGCUAAUACCGCAUACGACCUGAGGGUGAAAGCGGGGGGUCGCAAGACCUCGCGCAAUUGGAGCGGCCGAUAUCAGAUUAGGUAGUUGGUGGGGUAAAGGCCCACCAAGCCAACGAUCUGUAGCUGGUCUGAGAGGACGACCAGCCUCACUGGGACUGAGACACGGCCCGGACUCCUACGGGAGUCAGCGGUGGGGAAUUUUGGACAAUGGACGCAAGUCUGAUCCAGCCAUGCCGCGUGCGGGAAGAAGGCCUUCGGGUUGUAAACCGCUUUUGUCAGGGAAGAAAAGGGCGACUUUAAUACAGUUGCCUCAUGACGGUACCUGAAGAAUAAGCACCGGCUAACUACGUGCCAGCAGCCGCCGUAACAC